UACGAAGGGGGCAAGCGUUGUUCGGAAUUACUGGGCGUAAAGGGCGCGUAGGCGGCCGAUCAAGUCAGGCGUGAAAUUCCCGGGCUCAACCUGGGGGCUGCGCUUGAUACUGAUUGGCUUGAAUGCGGGAGAGGAUAGUGGAAUUCCCAGUGUAGAGGUGAAAUUCGUAGAUAUUGGGAAGAACACCGGUGGCGAAGGCGGCAUCCUGGACCGGUAUUGACGCUGAGGCGCGAAAGCUAGGGGAGCAAACGGGG
rnacentral:rRNA from 1 species